UACGUAGGGUGCAAGCGUUACUCGGAAUUACUGGGCGUAAAGCGUCUGUAGGUUUUUCACCACGUCUGGCAGUAAAUUGCAGGGCUCAACCCUGCAGGUCUGUUGGAAACGAGUGGAAUAGAGUCACUCAGAGGCAUCUGGAAUGUCAUGUGUAGGGGUAAAAUCCGUAGAUACAUGAUGGAACGCCAAAAGCGAAAGCAGGAUGCUAGGGGUGUACUGACACUCAGAGACGAAAGCGUGGGGAGCAAAGGGG
rnacentral:rRNA from 1 species